GUAGGGAAUAUUGGACAAUGGGGGGAACCCUGAUCCAGCCAUGCCGCGUGGAGGAAGACUGCCCUCUGGGUUGUAAACUCCUUUUAUAUGGGAAGAACCGUCCUCAUUAAUGAGUGACCUGACGGUACCAUAGGAAUAAGCACCGGCUAACUCCGUGCCAGCAGCCGCGGUAAUACGGAGGGUGCAAGCGCUAUCCGGAUUCACUGGGUUUAAAGGGUGCGUAGGCGGAUAAAUAAGUCAGUGGUGACAUCAACGGGCUCAACCUGUUAACUGCCAUUGAUACUGUGUAUCUUGAAUAUGAGAGAGGUAGGCGGAAUGUUGCAUGUAGCGGUGAAAUGCUUAGUUAUGCUACGGAACACCGAUUGCGAAGGCAGCUUACUAUUUCGUAAUUGACGCUGAGGCACGAAAGCGUGGGUAGCGAACAGGAUUAGAUACCCGGGUAGUCC
rnacentral:rRNA from 1 species